UUGCCUCAGUAACGGCGAGUGAAGCGGCAACAGCUCAAAUUUGAAAUCUGGUCUUCUGGCCCGAGAUUGUAAUUUGCAGAGGAUGUUUCUGACAAGGUGCCUUCCGAGUUCCCUGGAACGGGACGCCAUAGAGGGUGAGAGCCCCGUCUGGUUGGCCGCCGCGUCUCUGUGAAACUCCUUCGACGAGUCGAGUAGUUUGGGAAUGCUGCUCUAAAUGGGAGGUGUACGUCUUCUAAAGCUAAAUACCGGCCAGAGACCGAUAGCGCACAAGUAGGGUGACCGAAAGAUGAAAAGCACUUUGAAAAGAGGGUUAAAAAGUACGUGAAAUUGUUGAAAGGGAAGCACUUGUGACCAGACUUGGGCCGGUUGAUCACCCGUCGUUCUCGGCGGUGCACUCUGCCGGCCCAGGCCAGCAUCAGUUCGGCUCGGGGGACAAAGGCGGUGGGAACGUGGCUCCCUCGGGAGUGUUAUAGCCCACCGUGUAAUACCCCGGACCGGACUGAGGUACGCGCUUCCGCAUGGAUGCUGGCGUAAUGGUCUCCAGUGACCCGUCUUGAAACACGGACCAAGGAGUCGUCUUCGUAUGCGAGUGUUCGGGUGUCAAACCCCUACGCGUAAUGAAAGUGAACGUAGGAGAGAGCUUCGGCGCAUCUCCGACCGAUCCUGAUGUUCUCGGAUGGAUUUGAGUAAGAGCAUACGGGGCCGGACCCGAAAGAAGGUGAACUAUGCCUGUAUAGGGUGAAGCCAGGGACAAACCCUGGUGGAGGCUCGCAGCGGUUCUGACGUGCAAAUCGAUCGUCAAAAUAUGGGCAUGGGGGGCGAAAGACUAAUCGAACCUUCUAGUAGCUGGUUUCCGCCGAAGUUUCCCCUC
rnacentral:rRNA from 1 species